rnacentral:rRNA from 1 species
CUACGGAGGGGGUUAGCGUUGUUCGGAAUUACUGGGCGUAAAGCGUACGUAGGCGGAUCGGAAAGUAAGGGUUGAAAUCCCAGGGCUCAACCCUGGAACUGCCUCUUAAACUCCCGGUCUUGAGUUCGAGAGAGGUGAGUGGAAUUCCUAGUGUAGAGGUGAAAUUCGUAGAUAUUAGGAGGAACACCAGUGGCGAAGGCGGCUCACUGGCUCGAUCCUGACGCUGAGGUACGAAAGUGUGGGGAGCAAACAGGAUUAGAUACCCUUGUAGUCC